rnacentral:lncRNA from 1 species
GGCGGCGGCGAUGGCGCGCGCGAGCGUCACGGCGGAGAUCGCGGGCGCCUUCCCUGCGGGGAAGAAGACCCUGACGCGUGGGUCCCGCGCGUCAGUGGCUCGGGCGCGCGCGCCGGGCCGGUCGGCUCGGUCGGGCGGGCGGGACGGUGCUGGUGCGGCCCAAGCGGUCGGACCGGUCCAGUUCUUCCUUUUUUUUUCUUUUAGCCUUUUCUCGUUUUCUUUUUCUGAUUUCAUUGAUAACUUUUGAUUUUGAACUCCAAAUUGGUCCAAAUAAAUUCCAGAAAAUUUGAAAAAUCAUGUUAUAUUCUGAUUCAACUUUUGGGAGUAAUUUCCCUUCACAAUAAAAUAUAUAAAAAUACAUUUGCCCUAUAAAUGCCUUUAAGGCUAUAUAACUAUUUAAAUAAAAUAGUUUUUCAACUCCAAAUAAUUAUCCAAAAAUUAUGGGAUUGCCUAUUUAUGAAAUAAACCCUUUUUAUAGAUGAACCCUAUUGGUUUGAAGAUCCAA